GGGUGAGUAACACGUAGGCAACCUGCCUCUCAGACUGGGAUAACAUAGGGAAACUUAUGCUAAUACCGGAUAGGUUUUUGGAUCGCAUGAUCCGAAAAGAAAAGGCGGCUUUAAACUGUCCUUGGGAAAGGGGCCUGCGGCGCAUUACCUAAUUGGGGGGGUAAUGGCCUACCAAGGAAACAAUGCUUAACCAACCUGAAAGGGAGACCGGCCACACUGGAACUGAGACACGGCCCAAACUCCUACGGAAGGCAGCAGUAGGAAAUUUUCCACAGUGGACAAAGGUCUGAUGGAGCACCGCCGCGUGAACAAUAAGGGUCUUCGGAUUGGAAAGUUCUGUUGUUAGGGACAAACAAUUACGGUUCAAGUAGGGCGGUGCCUGGGGGGGGCCUGACAAGAAAGCCACGGUUAUCUACGUGCCAUCAGCCGCGGUAUUACUUAGGUGGCAAGCGUUGUCCGUAUUUUUUGGGCGUAAAGCGCGCGCAGGCGUUUAUGUAUUUCUGUUGUUAAAUCCCGGAUCUCUUCUCCGGUUCGUUUCGAAAUCUGUGUAUUUUGUUUGCUAAAAAGAAAAGUGGUUUUCCCUGUGUAUCUGUUUAUUUGCGUAAUUAUGUGAAGUAACUCCUGUGGUUAAGGUGCCUUUCCCGGCCUGUAACUGACGCUGAGCCGCCCGGUCGUGGGGAGCAAACAGGACUAGAUCACCCUGGUAGUCCCCCGCCGUAAACCCGACGAGUGCUACGGUGUUGGGGGUUUCAAUCACCCUCAGUGCCGCAGCUAACGCAAUAAGCACUCCGCCUGGGGAGUACGCUCGCAAGAGGCUGAAACUCAAAGGAAUUGACGGGCGGCCCGCACAAGCGGUGGAGCAUGUGGUUUAAUUUGAAGCAACGCGAAGAACCUUACCAGGUCUUGACAUCCCGCUGACCGCUCUCCGGGAGACAGAGCUUCCCUUCGGGGCAGCGGUGACAGGUGGGUUGCAUGGUUGUCGUCACCUCUCCGUGUCGUGAGAUGUUGGGUUAAGUCCCGCAACGAGCGCAACCCUUAAUUUUUCUAGUUGCCAGCAUUCAGUUGGGUGCACUCUAGAGAGACUGCCGUCGACAAGACGGAGGAAGGCGGGGAUGACGUCAAAUCAUCAUGCCCCUUAUGACCUGGGCUACACACGUGCUACAAUGGUUGGUACAACGGGAUGCUACCUCGCGAGAGGACGCCAAUCUCUUAAAACCAAUCUCAGUUCGGAUUGUAGGCUGCAACUCGCCUACAUGAAGUCGGAAUCGCUAGUAAUCGCGGAUCAGCAUGCCGCGGUGAAUACGUUCCCGGGCCUUGUACACACCGCCCGUCACACCACGGGAGUUUGCAACCCCCGAAGUCGGUGAGGUACCCACCCGAACUCGUCGCUCAACAGAGU
rnacentral:rRNA from 1 species